rnacentral:misc_RNA from 1 species
UUUCCGUAGGUGAACCUGCGGAAGGAUCAUUAUUGUAUAACCGAGGUGCGAGGGCUGUCGCUGACCCGACAGGUCGUGCACGCCCGAGUGCCCUCACACACAUCCCUCUCACCCCUAUGUGCACCACCGCGUGGGUCCCCCUUUGGCUUGUUCGGAGGGGGGCUUACGUUUUCACACAAACUUUGUAUGAAGUGUAGAAUGUAUUUUUUGUUUUUGCGAUCACGCAAUCAAUACAACUUUCAACAACGGAUCUCUUGGCUCUC